UCUCCGUAGGUGAACCUGCGGAGGGAUCAUUACAGAGUUCUCGCCCUCGCGGGUAGAUCUCCCACCCACUGUUAUCGUUACUGUGUUGCUUUGGCGGGCCGCCGGGCCCCGCUCGGCCGCCGGCUCCGGCUGGUACGUGUCUGCCAGAGGACCCUAAACUCUGAAUUAUUACUGUCUGAGUACUAUAUAAUAGUUAAAACUUUCAACAACGGAUCUCUUGGUUCUG
rnacentral:misc_RNA from 1 species